UACGGAGGGGGCUAGCGUUGUUCGGAAUUACUGGGCGUAAAGCGCACGUAGGCGGCUUUGCAAGUCAGAGGUGAAAGCCCGGGGCUCAACCCCGGAAUUGCCUUUGAGACUGCAUCGCUAGAAUUGUGGAGAGGUAAGUGGAAUUCCGAGUGUAGAGGUGAAAUUCGUAGAUAUUCGGAAGAACACCAGUGGCGAAGGCGGCUUCUGGACAGACACUGACGCUGAUACGCGAAGCGUGGGAUCAAACAGG
rnacentral:rRNA from 1 species